GUCUUUACUAGUUUCUUGUCUUCUUUCUCUUUCAUUUAGGCAGCCUUUUGGCUUUUGCAUUCUUCCACCAGUAUUUUGGAGGACAGAAUUUCAUGGUUGUGCUUGAGUAUAGUGCCACAAAGUCUCACAAGCAUGUCUCACAUUACAUUGCCCUGAUCAAUGCCAUUUCCCAAUUAAAACCAUAAUACAUUAGAACUAAACUCCUUCAGAUGCCAAGGAAGCAUCAUUCAACUCUUUACCUAAGACACAAAUGGAAUGGCUGUCAUCAAUCAGAGAUGAUCCUACUUGAUUUCAGCUUCCCAUUACCACAUUUACUUAUUAUAUAUCCAAACAAUUAAACAAAAUACAAAUUUCAUUAGAAUCAGAAUCAAAUAAUGUAACUAAUUAGUUCAUAGUUUGUUAUAAUAGAAAAAAAUACUUGAUUUGGAGUUAAAAGAUCCUGAUUCUUCAAUGAUUUGAUCUUGAACAAAUUUCACUUUUUUGACUCUCAUUUUUAUCAUUUAUAAAAUGAGGGAUAGACUGGGCCUUCAAGUCCUAAUCCUAUCAUUCAAUGAACCAAAUGACUCACACUUGUCCAGACUUGUUUUUGAUAUAGUUAGUAAUUGGGUAUUUCCAGUAGAGAGUAUUAGGAUAUAUUAACUGCUUUUAUUUAAUACCUUCUAUCAAAUACCUAAGAGCAUUUGAAUUUGGAGAUGGAUACUUUGGGUUCAAAUUCCAACUCUGCUACUUUACCACUGGGAUGCCUUUGGGCAAAUCAUAGAACUUCUUUGGACUCCAGUUUCCUUAUUUUUAAAAUGAAGGGCCAUUUGCUGUUUCAUUGUUUUCAGUUAUACCCAACUCUUUGUGACCAUAUUUGGGAUUUUCUUGGCAACGAUACUGAAGUGGUUUGGCAUUUAUUUUUCCAGCUCAUUUUACAGAUGAAGAAACUGAGGCAAACCAGGAUUAAGUGACUUUCCCAGGGUCAGACCCAUCUAGUAAAUGUCUGAGUCUAGAUUUGAACUCAGGAAGGUGAAUCUUCCUGAAUCCAGCCCAGCUCUCAAGCCACUGCUCCACCUUGCUGCCCUGAAAGCACUAUAUAAAUAGUAGCUAUUAUCUCUAAGGUCUCUUUCAAUAACCUACGAUCUUCCUAUUUUUGGUACUUGUACUUCCUGCUUCACAAAGUUGUGAAGAAAGCACUUUGUGAAUUGUAAAAUGCUUUAGAAAUAUAAAUUUUGAUGGUCCUGUGAUAUGCUCAUAAUCCAUUACCACACUCUGGAGUUCUUAUGUAGUUGGACAAAACCAGGAUAUUUUCAGCUUGCCAGUUGUAGUCUCUUCUUAUAAUUUCAAGGCAAAUUCUUUCCCUACCUUGGCAAGAGAAUCAGUUUGUAAGCCAGUAAGAUUUGACAAUAAUAAUGUAAUAAUUAAUAUUGUUUCUUUUCUUGCCCAGCCAUAGGCUAUUUUAGCAAUGUACAUUUUAAGUCCCAUGCAGGAUAUCUGCAGUGAAGUUUUUCUUUUAUCUCUAAAGUUAGUUUUAACAGUGGUUUGCUCAGAUGAGUAAAAUGGUUCCUCCUAUGACAUCUCAGAGAUAGCCAGGACUAAAAUAGCCCCUUAUUUUUGUAGAAUAGAAGUUAGUUAAAAAUAAGGUUAUUGAACAAAGAACCUCAGCAUUAGUUUUAAAUUCUUGGUGGAGGGCAGAGAGCUUACUGAAGUCUCAUGAAAAAAUAAAGCCACAGAAAUCAGAAUUUUAGAGUUGAAAGAGGCUGGCCUCUACCACAACCUUGUAAUUAUCCAGCCUUGCUUGAUGAUCUCACAUGUUGGAGAAUCCACUGCUUCUUGAGGAAUUCCUGCCACUAUUAGAUAGCUUUAAAUUUGGGGAAUUUUUUUUCCUUACAUCAAAGCAAAAUUUACUCCUUUGCAACCUCUACCAGUUGCUGCUAGUUGUGUCUUUGGGGACAGUGGGGAAAAAUGUCUCACCUUUUUCCCAUAUAUAGGAGAGUUAUUUAUUUCAUUCCCAUUUCUUUCAGUUGAUUCACAUAUUAUUUUAAGAACAUGAUACUUAUCGUCUUUCUGAUUGUCUUUGUCUGAAUGCUAUCCAAUUUAUUAGUACCCUAUCUAAAAUUUGGUGUCUAGAACUGAACCUCCCAGUCCAGAUGUCAUAUGACUAAGGGCAGAAUAUGGCAGAUCUCUCACCUCAUAAACUUUUCUCAAUGUAACAAGAUAGUGUUAGCUUUCUAGGCUGCCAUAUCAUAGUGAAGUGCAUUAUAGUCAAACUUCCUUCAAUUUACAUUUAUAAUAUUUAAUUUUUGAAUCCAGGUAUAAGUCUGUGCAUUUAUAUGAGUUAAAUUUAAAUAUAUUAAAUUUGGUUCAAUAUUCUCAUCCAUUGAGAUCUUUGUUAAUUCUAUCCUGUUAUCCAGGAUCCCUUUAAGCUUUAUGUCAUCUACAAAUUUGAUCAGUUUGCUGUCUCUGCCUUUAUCCAAGUCAUUGCAGGACCCUCUUUACCAGACAUUUCCCUACAAUUGGUAUCUAACUAUGAAUAACUAUGGGGGGAACAAUUAAUCAAUCAAUUGUAAAUCCACCUGGCUAGUAUUAUCUAGCCCUUUCCUCUUCAUCAUUUCUACAACAACUUGAGAAACUUUGCUAAAUGCUUUGCCUCUAAGUAACUUAUAUCAAUGACAUUUUGCCUGAUCUACUAAUCUAAUCAUCCUGUCAAAAAGAAAAAGAAAAUGAUCUUGGCUCAACAUAAUUGGACCUACUAUGUGGGUUCCCUGUGAUUACUACUUCCUUUUCUAGAUACACCAUCUCUUUAGUAAUAUGUCCUAGAUUUUUGCUAGGAAUUGAAGUCAAGCUCACCGGCCUAUACCAUUCAGAUACCAUUCUCUUUUCUUUUUAAAAAAUUGGAACAUUUGCCCUUCACUCUUCCCAUGUUACCUCUUCUAUUCUUCAUACUUUUAACUGUCACUGACAGCGACUUAACAAUCUCAUCUGCUACUCCUUUCAUUCAGUACCUGAGAAUUUAGUUCCAUCUGACCCAAAUGAAAGCAGGUAACAAGAUGCUGAAGUAAAGAGGACUGAAAGGAAUGAGAUCAGGACAAAUGAAGUGAGGAAAAUAUGGGGGUUAGAUGUAACAUUUCUCUCUCAGGCCCCUAGGGAAACAUUUCUUUUAAGAUGAAGUUCCUACUUUUAGUAUUAAGUAGAGAUAGAGACUGGUCCUGUAAUUUCAUUGCUAUAGGGAAUUCUCAGUACAAUCCUGCAACUUCCCAGCAAUCUAUGGUCAUUAGAGAGUUUUGUGGAGCAGUAAGGGACUAAAUGACUUCCUGAGGGUCACACCAGUGUUAUGUCUCAGAGUGAGACUAGCACCCAAGUCUACCUGACCUGUUCUCAAUGUAUUCCUCCCUGUUGUUUUUAUAACCUAAAUGCUGUCGGAUCACAAAGGUAUAUAGCCAAUUUAUAAGUCAAGUUUUAAUUUUCUACUGUGGAGAGCAUGUUACCUCUACUGAAAUUUGCUGAUACCUCAUCAUCAAUGGAGGUGACCCUAGUUUAUUGGAAGUUAUGGCAGUUGAGGGCUCUUGCACAUCCUACCAAGUUGAAAGGGCUUCUAGUAUAGCACUGGUAGUGGACUCUUGUCAAUGGAUUAACUAAGUAUAGACAGACCCUUGAAUUCUCCCUUGGGUAAUGAAUUAUUUUGAUACAUAGUGAUUCAAAAUAAAUUACCUGAGGUAGAAAGAAUGGUUUCUAUCUGUAUCCUUGCUGGCAAAAUAGUUCUUGAAGUGUUUAAAAUGGAGGUCCUUACCGUUUUUUGAGUCCUGGACCCCUUUGGCAAUCUGGUGAAGCCUAUGGAGCUCUUCUGAGAAAAUUGUUUUUAAAUGCAUAAAAUAAAGUAUACAGGAUUAAUAAUAAUAGUAAUGUUAUAUAUCACUGUGGUUUGCAGAACACUUUAUAUAGAUAAGCUCAUUUGAUCUUUACCACAACUCUUUAAGGUAGGUGUGGUUAUUAUCCUCAUUUGAUACAGGAAACUGAGGCUUAGAGAGAUUAAAUGAUUUGUUCAGGGUCAGAAUUUGAGGUAAGAUUUGAAUUUAGCUCUUCAAGGCCAGCACUCUAUACACUGUGCUCCCAGAUGCAAUUAUAUUGAAAUAUAGUAAGUAAGAAAAAAAGAGUUCAUGGAUCCCAGGUUAACUCUUGCUUUAAAAGUAAGUUGAAAAAUAGAAUCCAGUUUUGUUUUGUUUUGUUUUUUCAGAGGGGAAGGGACAGAGUUAGACAGGAGUUUGCCAGUUAUUCCAUGUAGAAAGGCCAUUUUUAUGGCUGAGUGGAAAACUUCAGAAUGCUACCAGCACCCCGGGAGACAAGACGAGCAGAACUGGGAGUGUAGACUAGAGCAUCAGCAACAGUCAGAAAGGAGUGUUUACAAGCUUUGUAUAUUUUAUAACCUUUUGUUGUACAGUUUAUGGUUUACAAUGGCUGCAAGGAAAUUGGAUCCGUUUUGUUUUACUCACCAAAUAAAACACAUGUCAGAAUAGUCAAUAUAAAAUGUAUUCUAAUUUGGCUGAGUUAAAACAGCCAGGAUGCUGUGGAAUAAUUGAAUGUUACAUUAAUGCCUCCUAGUAAAAACCAUCUGUCUAUCUAUUGAAAACUUUUCUGUCUUUGCUUGUGUAAUUUGCAGGUAAUAUCCACACUAAUAAGAAGAACCUCAGUUCCUAGAUUCACAGGACUGGGAGCUGGCAGGGACCUUAGAGGUUAUCUAGGUCAAUCCCUUCAGUCAGAUGGGAAUAUUGAAGUCUAUAGAGCCUUGGACAAGUCACUAGCUUGGAGUAACAUAAGUGCAAAGUGGCUGUCAAGAAAUAAAUCUAGAUCUUCUAAUUACAAAUUUCAUAUUCUGCUCAUUAUAUUAGACUCAGGUGUUUGGUUUUUUGGGGGGGGAUCCUUUUAGGAUCCUUUAGGAUGACAGUGUAGUAUGGUGUGAGUCUAGACUCCACAGCUUUGUUGCUGUGGGCCAGUUACCCAACCUGCUUAGAACACAGUGUCCUAAGAUGGAAAGGAGGGAUAAUCUUACUAUGUCCCUCCUAGGGCCACAAUAAGAUUCUCUAGACCUAAAGUACUAUUGAAAUAUGAGUUGUUCUCCCUUUCCACUGAUGAUUAGAUCUUGUUUUUCCACAGGUUAGGUAAAGUUAUGUAUUUUUUUGAAAUGAUGAAGUGUCUUAAUUUGAGAUCUGUUUAAAUAGUUAAUAACUACCAAUUCAGAGAAAUAAAGUGAGUCUAGAAUUCUGCUCGAAGGUUUUGACUACAAGUAAAUUUCCUUUUCUGAUGAUAGACAUUGAAGUUUGUACUUGGUUUCUCAUAAAUCCCACAUAGAUGAAGGAGUAAAAGAAGGGAACAUGCAUUUAUUAAGUACCUGAUAUAUUCCAGGCACUGUGCUAAGUUCUUUACAAAUAUCUUAUUUGAUCCUCACAACAGUCCUGGGAGGUAGAUUAUUAUUCCCAUUUUACAUAAAAGGAACCCAAAGCAGAUACUUAGAGAGGCUUGCCCGAGGUGAUAUAGCUUUUAAGUAUCUGAGACUAGACUUGACUAAGGGUUUCUUGGCUCUAGGUCUGGCACUCUAUCCAUUGUGGCAUCUUUUAGAUACAUAAUUUUUUACAUAUUGUGAGACUUUAAGGUAUUGAUUUAACUAAAUUGCCUUUUAGGACUUAACUUAGUAUAGUGGAAAGAACUUUGGAUUUCAAAUCAGAAGACUGGGUUUGUACCUCAGUACUGAUAUUUAUUGUCAUUAUAAUUCCGGGCUAAUAAUUUACCCUUUCCUGGACCUCAUUUUCCUCAUCUGUAUAAUGGAGUUGAACUAAAUAAGACCUAUAUAUGUAGUUUUAAGAUCCCAGGAUUAUACCCCUGUAUUUUGGUUCCCCUCUGGAAAAAUGGGAUGGUAAUCUCUUCCUGAGUUUUAUAUGGUGGUGAAUAUAGUUUGAGGGGGUUUGCCCAAAUUAUUGAUCUAAUGAAGACCUGCUAUGCUGUUUGAUGAUGGUAUUGAAGUGAUUUUGGGCUCUCUAGCCAGUGGAACACAAGCUGAAAAGACUUGAGGGAUGUUAGAUUGUGUCCAUUAUUUAAGACCAACCCAACUAACUUUGGAGAGACUCACCUUCAGGGAAUGGAUUAUUUGGCCCCAGUGAUGCAGGAAAACUAACCAUUUUCUCUAGUAAGAAUGAGGAGGAAGGGAAGCCUCUGCAUUAGUGGAAUAAAUACUCAAACUGAUGAAAACACUCUUCCUUAAGAUAUUUAAGUAGUUUUCCAGGGCCAAAAUCUGUUUUCACUUUGGCAUUCAAAGAUUAGAAUAUUCAGCGUGUGAGUUCUAAGAAUCUAUUCUGAGUUUUUUGGUAAGCCAAAAGCUUUAAGUUCAGAUUUUUCUCAUGAAAGUCCUAUUUGCUCUAAAACAAAUAUAGUAUAGACUAGAGAGAAUUAAUGUUACCAGUAGCUUAUGAAAAAGUACCUCAUUGUCAAUUAGACCAUGGAGGUCAUGUGGUUUAAGUAGUGGAGUAAAGCCCCUUUCGGGGUAGCUUUGCAUAGAGAGAGAAUUUUCUGUCAUAAUAAGACAUAUUAGCCUCUUCUAUUGCUGUCUUUUGAGAUCCUGAAGAGUAUAAUAUAAUGUGAAGAGUGAUGAUGGAGUUAGGGCAGGAUUUCUGGGUUUAAGGCCUAACUCAGAUACUAACUGUGCAAUCAUGGGCAAGUCACAUAAUGCACAGGUAAACUUCAAUUGUUUGUCUAUUAAAUGAGGAUAGGCCACAUACUAUUACCUCAUAAAAUGUCGUAAAUUGAUGUCCUUACAAUAUUUUAUGCCUUUAGGGAAACUAUCUGAAACAGAAGAGACCUUAAAGGUCUAGCAUUAUAUUUGAUGAACUAGACAAAAUCAGAGCCUAGUUUUUCCAUACUAGUAUGAGUUGGAAGUCAGGAGACUGUAUGAAAGUUGGUAGGAAUGAGAAUAUCUGCAGUUCUGAUGAAACACUGCUCCUUUCCUCAGGAUGGGGACUUUUCAAGAUUCAACUUUGUUGAUCUAGCUGUUAUGGACCAAGCUUUUUUUUUUUUUUAAACAUUCAAGACACCUUUGAUGGCAUUCAAUCCCCAUGCCCUGUGGACCUUGACAUGGCCGUUUAGUUCAGCAAAUAUUAAGUAUUUCCUGUUUACAGAG